CUGGAAGUCCCAGUUGCAGUAGGCACAAGCCAAGACAUUGUGGCUGAAUACUAGACCACAGAAAGUGAAUGAGUUAGAAGACUACAUUCUACUCCUCAUCACUGGUGGCAGGAACCUUGUGUGGAAGAUUCAGUAGAUCAAGAAAAGCUCCCACUUCUUUCUGGGAAGAGAACUGGGGUGUGUGGAGAACUGAUUAAAAACAGGAAGGAUGGAGGGAAGCACAUUCUUUGCUCCUGUAACUUAAUUACAAACUCACAAACUUAACCAUAUUGCCAUGGUCUAGUAUCACCACAACCUGGCAGAUGCCACUGACUGAAAACACAGAUCUACUUUAAAAUGUUGAAAAGAAGAAAUUCUCAGUGUUCCUAUCAGCAUCUAUGCUACAUAAUUUCUUUCUUGUCCCAUAUGUAAACAGACAGGAAUUAUCAAGAAUGGAAGGCUAUGUCAAGGUUGCAGAAAGAACUAUGAAACUGUGAAGCUGAUUGGUUGACUAAUUCAAGGGAUGAAGUAUGAAUUAAUCUUAUAUGAAAAAAUAGGAAUUCAUACUGUAAAAAAGCAAGUAUUUUAAUAUUAAAGAACAAAAAUACAAGAAAAAA